rnacentral:rRNA from 1 species
CUACGGGAGGCAGCAGUGGGGAAUAUUGGACAAUGGGGGCAACCCUGAUCCAGCAAUGCCGCGUGUGUGAAGAAGGUCUUCGGAUUGUAAAGCACUUUCACUAGGGAAGAUGAUGACGGUACCUAGAGAAGAAGCCCCGGCUAACUUCGUGCCAGCAGCCGCGGUAAUACGAAGGGGGCUAGCGUUGCUCGGAAUGACUGGGCGUAAAGGGCGCGUAGGCUGUUUGUACAGUCAGAUGUGAAAUCCCCGGGCUUAACCUGGGAACUGCAUUUGAUACGUGCAGACUAGAGUCCGAGAGAGGGUUGUGGAAUUCCCAGUGUAGAGGUGAAAUUCGUAGAUAUUGGGAAGAACACCGGUUGCGAAGGCGGCAACCUGGCUCGGAACUGACGCUGANGCGCGAAAGCGUGGGGAGCGAACAGGAUUAGAUACCCUGGUAGUCCACGCUGUAAACGAUGUGUGCUGGAUGUUGGGUGAUUUUAUCAUUCAGUGUCGGAGCUAACGCGUUAAGCACACCGCCUGGGGAGUACGGCCNCNAGGUUNAAACUCAAAGGAAUUGACGGGGGCCNNCACNAANGGUG